rnacentral:rRNA from 1 species
GACGAACGCUGGCGGCGUGCUUAACACAUGCAAGUCGAACGGAAAGGCCCUGCUUUUGUGGGGUGAUUGGGGGGCGAGCGGGUAAUAAACCGGAAAGUACCCUGCCCUGGCUUUUGGGAAAACUUAAGGAAUUCGGGGACAACACCGGAUCGAAGCACCAACGCAAGGGUGGGGGUGGGAAGGUUUGGGCGGUUGGGGAUGAGCUCGCGGCUUAUCAGGUUGUUGGUGGGGUAGGGGCUUCCCACGGUUUUGACGGGUGGCGGGCCGGAGGGUGACCGGCCACAUUGGGACUGAGAUACGGCCCAGACGCGUACGGGAGGCAGCAGUGGGGAAUAUUGCACAAUGGGCGGAAGCCUAAUGCAGCAACGCCGCGUGCGGGAUGACGGCCUUCGGGUUGUAAACCGCUUUCGCCUGUGACGAAGCGUGAGUGACGGUAAUGGAUAAAGAAGCACCGGCUAACUACGUG